UACGUAGGGGGCAAGCGUUGUCCGGAUUUAUUGGGCGUAAAGAGCGUGUAGGCGGCCAGAAAAGUCCGCUGUGAAAACUCGAGGCUCAACUUCGAGCUGUCGGUGGAAACUUUCUGGCUAGAGUCCGGAAGAGGAGAAUGGAAUUCCUGGUGUGGCGGUGAAAUGCGCAGAUAUCAGGAGGAACACCGAUUGCGAAGGCAGCUCGCUGGAACGUUACUGACGCUGAGACGCGAAAGCGUGGGGAGCAAACAGG
rnacentral:rRNA from 1 species